UACAACUUGACCACAAACGACGACUUCCUUUGUCCGAGGUGGUGGGCGAUACGUUGGACUGUUCGGACUGUUCGGAACUUCUGCAUUAGAUUUUUAGAAAAAAGACAACAAAAAAAAGACAAGCAAAUUAAUUAAUGAAAGUUGCAAGUAUUAUCGAAAAUCAUAAAAUAAUUAGUAUGAAGGCACGCUAAAAAGAGAUGGAAUGACAUGGAAAAUGUACAGGAAUGGACAAAUAACAGGAGAACCGAAGACAAGAAAAAAAACAAAACAAAACAAAAAUAAACAAAACAAAACAACAAACAACACAUCUCUUACCUAUUUGUUUUUCAAUAUCCGCCGCUUCAUCCGGAGUGGCUCGAGGAAUGACCCCUGGGUCGGAAAACGACGUUCGAAAAAGAGUUGCAAGGACAAAGGUAAACA